UCGUGCGGAGCGGCCGGCCUUCCCGUAGACGUGUUGACCUCGCCUUCGCCCCGGGUGGCCGGAGAAGGCUUGAGGGCCGUACAAAUCCGUAUGAGUCCUUCGAAGCGCUUGGUGUUCGGUGCUAGCGAAAAGACGAGAAUUGCUGGGAAACCGUCUGGCUUGUCAAAAUACUUUGCAGCGUAGGGUGGGGAAUUUCUUGUUUUGGUCUGUUUUUACCUGCAUCGUUUGUGGAUAAACUGUAACGCAGUUGACAGCUAAGCACAAAUUCUGUGGGAGUGUUUCUGUGAGUUGGGAGAAAGGUCAAGCUGGAUCCAGCUUAAGGUGUGAACAAAAGCGGCCCUUGGGCUGAGGCUUCACAAAGGAAGGUUUGGUCUGGAGGUUUUAAUGGCACAGGCGAAGACCUUUGGAAAAGAGCUUUUAUCAUGGAAACCAAGUAUCUGUAAGAAUUAACUAAACCAGCAUCAUUAAAAAAAAAAAGUUUCUGAGAAUGCAGAAAUGCUUUCUUCUUCGUUUCCUCUCAAGUGAGAACAAGUUUAAAACUCCAGAACUGAGCUGUACUAUAGAGCAAGAAAACUCCCUGUACUCCUCCGAACACUUCCUGACUGCAGACAGAGUGGUGGUAAGUCAUUUAGCUCAUCUGUAGCUUUCAUAUGUCUGAAAUAUAUCUGUAUGCAUUGGGGCUCAGCCCUAAUAAAGUGACCUUUUUGUGGAAGAUAUCUUGCAUAUUUUCUUUGUCACAGAUGUUUAUCAGUUUGUCCUGACAAAAUGAUGAAUGGCGAUUAGUUGAAACAGCCUGGCUACUUGCUUUGGUGUUGGUUCUGCUAUGUGUGUGCCCUGCUCAAAUGCAGAACAGCCUCCAUGCAGGUGGAAGCAGGAGACCAGAAACUGUCUGCAGACUUCCAAAUCACUACAGAAGGAGAACUGGAAUAAGCCUUCCUGAGGGGCAAGUGGAGCAGGAGGAGAAGGGUCCAUAUCCUUGGGAUUGCCACGGCCAAAGCUUAACCCUCUCAUCCUCAGAUGCAGUAGACUCAUGAGAGAAUGAAAAUUAAAUGUGUUUCUGGACAACAGCCUCCCCUUCAAACAGCAGCUACAAAGUUGCACCAUGUUUUUUAUCCUCCCUAUUUACUCUUGCUUCGAGGUAAGUAUAUGUGACUUGGCUGUCAGUGUGCCUGUAACUUAGCACUGAAAUGAAACCGUUGCCUAAUAUACAUAGUCAGAUAUUCCAAAAACAACAACAAAAUAGUCUUCUCUUUGUGUAGAUGACUGACUGUCUAGUGAAUGUCAUUUUUGUUAUUAAAGUGAUUUAACUUGUUGCCCAAGAAAAAAAUGCGUUACAGCAAUGCUUUGUUAGCAUUACAAAUUUUCUGGUCAUAUCCACUGCUGUUUCCAGGGUCUUAUCUUAUGUUUUUGGCUUUGGAAUUCUCCAUCUCUGGAUUUCCAGAAACUGGGUUUGUUAAUCUUUCAUGCAUUUAGUAAACAUAUAACCCAAAGCAGACUUUAUUUUGUCUUUUCCCUAGGGGCUAUGUGCAUAGAGCACAGGAUAAGUGUUGCUAGCAAUUCAUGAUUUUAAGAAGUUGAAGUGAUUAAGAAUAAGCUAAAAUUAUUAGUGUGCACAAGUUGGGACCAGGAGGGAUUCAUAUGCUAUGAAAUCCGGAUGAAAGAAAACCAUUCCAGCUGUUUGUUAAAUUAUAAUAUUAAUUUUAUUUUACGUAAAUAUGUACCUAAGGUUUUUGUACUGAAAUUUCUUUUUACCAUUGCUAUGUGAUUUAAAGGUGCAUUGCUUCUGAGCAGAAAUAAUUAGUUUGACUUUUUCACGAUGUUAUUGUUAGAAAAUGUAAAGGUAAUACGAUUUACAAUCCCCUUCUACAAAGUUUGUCAUUCCACUGAUACUGAUCAUUGCCAGACCCUAGAUGCAAAAGGAUUUAAGAAUGACAGGAGCAACUAGCCACAGCACUCAAAUAAGAGCGAGAAGAAGGAACAGAGUGAAUGAGCUAUCUGAGUGAUGAGCAUUAAGAUAUCUCCAGAUGUGACUUGUGGCCUCCUGUCCUCAGAAAGGGAUACAAGUAUAGAUCAGGUGCAUGUAAUCCUUGUGGAAGCAUUAAUCAGCUCCUAGACUCCUCUGCAGGCUGUGAAAUACACUCAGGAAUAUCCUGCCAAUGAAUGUUCUGAUGAUGAAGUGAUUUUUAACUUGUCUUUCAUUGGGGAAGCAUGUUGUCGCUCAGUAUCUUGCCAAGCAAGUUUAAUGGGGUGGAGAUUCUGGGAAAACAGGUGGGACUGGAAGUAAAUGGCACUGUUCUACUAUUAAAAUUGAGCUAGGCUUCUGAAUAAAAAGCUGCUAUUUGCCUAAUUUUCCUUCA
rnacentral:lncRNA from 1 species